AUGUACAUUGUACGUCUCUGGCUGAACGAGAUGGACAGAAUAAUAUCAGAUUUAUUAUAAGGGAACUGGGUAGAACGUCAGAAUAUCCGACGACCGCCAGUUUUGUUCCCACUAUUGAGCAGUAGACAUUCAUGCGUAACUACCACAGUUCGGCAGGCAGAGGUCUCUGGAAAGGUAAAAGUUCGGCAUCUACAACGCGCGUGGAUCGACAGGAAUGAGACCAAGGUCAAGGCCAGCUGGUGCACAGGCGAGAAGUAAACAAACAACAUGGAUGCCACAUGUGAGACUGUGACACUGAAAAAAGUCAAGUAAACGCUUGUUUUAGACUAGUCAUCGGACAGUCAUGAAGUCUAGAGUCUGUGUCAGCCGAUGGAACUUGGGUGGAUGGACGAAGUAUCUGAGCUUGACUGGGUCUCUCUUCUGUGUCCGAGAGUAUAAGUGAUUGGCCAUCAGGACUUGGUUAAGUCACCAGCUGGAACUUCUUUGCAUGGUCAAUGUGAGUUAGAUUGUCUCGGUGAUUGCUGAGUCCAGAUCUUCAGAAGGAAUUGUUGCUGGACAUAGUAUCCAUGCUGGACAAGGUCUGUCUCCAUGUGUCUGAAGCUAAGAGGAACUGGAGGACUACAUUUCAUCAUCAGAGACUCAUUGUUGUAAGACUUCUAGUUAGUACAUUUUGGGAAUUGAGUUGAUCUGCUCCAGAAUUUGACAUUUGUCCCUUUUGCUUUAGAACAUGUUUUGAACUUAAAUGCAUAGUCUCCCUCUAUAGUAGCAGUGGCCAGGUGACCAGUAGUGGACAGUUAAUACAGUUGUAUUCAGAAUCACAAUCACAAUAGUUUGUGUAGAUAUCGAUCAAUAAUGACAGUCAGUAAUGUUUAAGUUAAAAUCUGUGUUAUGGUAAUGAUGUUGGUUUAUUGGGAAAAUUAUUUUUCAUACCAAUGGUUGAUAGAGUGAAUAAUAUGUUGUUGUAUAUUGAUGUCUUCCUCAUGUAAAUGACAUUUUUCUUCAAAUUUCAUUAUUUAUUUGGAGCUGUCUGGACAGAGCUUUAGAAAUGUGUAAGAUUUGAAUUCUUGAUUUUGUACUUUGCGGUUGCAAGUAAUCAGUGGUUUACAAUUCCAAUAUACUGUACUGUACUGGUAUUUCUUUACACCUGUUCUGUUGAAUAAAUUAUAUUGAAUUUUA